UCCCUGGUGGCUCAGAGGGUAAAGCAUCUGCCUGCAAUGUGGGAGACCCGGGUUCAAUCCCUGGGUGGGGAA
rnacentral:tRNA from 1 species